GGUGCAUGACGACGCGGGCUGUGUACUUCCUGGUUUUCUUUGCUGCGUGGCUCUCGGCUGCUUAUUAAUAGGCAAAAUUUCAAAGCCUGGCGUGAUAGCACGCAUCAUUAAUCUCGGGAGGCAGAGGCUGGAGGAUCUCUUAAGAAGGUCGGAGGAGGAUCUGGAGUCAGACCACGUUUCAAACAAACACCUUUAAACAAACAACACACAAGGAAACCAGAGAGCAAUGCACCAAAGAACUUCUGGUGGUAUUCCAACUGCUUCUUCCUGCUUCUGAGGACUUGUACUCAUAGGUGGGGGCCUGAUGGUUUCUACUGGAUCUAGCCAUUCCUACUGAUUCGUGUUUGAUGUUUGGGUCCCUAUGUAUUCAAGGCUGUCUUGGAACUUGGAAGACCAGGCUGACCUCAAACUCACAGAGAUCCUCCUGCCUCUGCCUCUGGAAUGCUGGGAUUAAAGGCGAACACGAAGGGCUGAGCCACAUCCUAACUAGAAACGGGUUCAAAUAUCUUGUGACAAAGAUCCAAAGAUGAGUCUAACCGAAGCUCUCCCACAGCAAUCACGUGCUCUUGGUUUUACCAGGCAGCUGUAAUCUCGCACGAGGACACUUGAGUUUGUCAGACCAAGCGCUCUCUGGUUUGAAUUGUUCCUGCUUCCUACUUCACUAAUAGGCGUUCUUGCACAUCCGCUAUUGAAUGUGCUUGCUCUGUUUGCUUGUUCAUUGGUUGGAAACCUUAUUUGUGGCUUGAUCUCCGUUUGAGAAUAAACCUAGCUUUUCACUGUGACAAAUGACCUUCUCCAAAUACUAGGCAAUCACUAAAAACCGUCACCUGCCGCACGUCGCCCUGCAGAAUCAGAGGUGGAGAUGCAGAAAUGGAAGCACCUUUUACUUCAGUGUUCACAGACCUGCGGUUUCCUCUGGACCCUUUAAAUGGUUGUGAUAGAAAAGAGCAACCCUAAACGGUUCGCAUUACUGAUGCUCUAGAAGAUGUUUUGCUCAGGACGUCGUGGAGAGCAGAUGAAGUCCUCAGUGAAUGUGUGUGGUUGGUAUUAUCGACAUGAGUGAGCACGGCUGGGUCAGACUCCAAAGCUUCACACGCAGGGGACAGUGAAGCCUUUCUGUCCAAGUACUAAUGUGGCCAUUGUAUGCACCAAGGAAGACUGCCACUUCCUCUCCCCCAAAACUGCACCCAGCCUGAGAAGACUCCAAGGGAAAUUUGGAAGCUCCACAGAUAGACCUUCUACUGAGAUUAGACUCCACCCUCCCAACACACACACACACACACACACACACACACACACACACACACACAUACACACACACACAUACACACACACACAUACACACACACACACAUACACACACAUACACACACACACAUACACACACACAUACACACACACAUACACACACACAUACACACACACACACAUACACACACACACACACACACAGAGAGAGAGAGAGAGAGAGAGAGAGAGAGAGAGAGAGAGAGAGAGAGCCUCCUCCUGAGAUUGGACAGUCCCCCCCUCCAACCCCCACUGAGAUUUGCCAUUCUCCCAUAGAUACCUCCUACUGAUCUGAGCUAAUUGACAUCCAGGUUGGAGUUGCUUCUAGGAAAUUAUUGGUCCACUCCCCAAAGCACUUUGCAGCCAUCCAUCCGAUGCCAGCUUUCCAUACACAGGUCUUUCUUCCCUCAACACCCCAGCCUUGUAAAUUCCUAAGCCUUGCAGGUCGCAGCAUCAUGGAACUUCAAAAAAUGUUGCUGCCCUACGUACUGUUCUUUUCUGUAUCUUGUUUGUUUCUUUUGUUUUCAGACAGGGUGUCUAUAUAGUCGUGGUUGUUCUGGUACUCACUGUGGAGACCAGGCUGGCCUGGAACUCAGAGAUCUGUGUGCCUCUCCCUCCCAGGGGCUGGGUUUAAAGGUGUGCACUCCCUGCCUUGUUUCCAGUAGCCUGAAGUUUAUAUUUUUCCCCAAAUAAUAACUCUCCAGUUUUGUAAUAAUAAAAUAGUGAAGAAUUUGAA